rnacentral:tRNA from 1 species
UAUACCUUAGUAUAUAAUGUACUAGAGUUUUUGAUAUUCUAAGAAAUAGUUUUAUUCUAUUAGGUAUAG